rnacentral:lncRNA from 1 species
AUCAGUUUAGAGAGGAGGAAGCAAUCUAAAUAUACAAUUAUGAUCAGUUUAGAGAGGAGUAAUCAAUUUAAAUAUACAAUUAUGAUCAGUUUAGAGAGGAGGAAGCAAUCUAAAUAUACAAUUAUGAUCAGUUUAGAGAGGAGGAAGCAAACUGGUGCCCACUGGUGUUGUAUCUGGUGUUGUAUCUGGUGUUGUAUCUGGUGUGGUGUUGUAUCUGGUGUGGUGUUGUAUCUGGUGUUGUAUCUGGUGUUGUAUCUGGUGUGGUGUUGUAUCUGGUGUGGUGUUGUAUCUGGUGUUGUAUCUGGUGUUGUUGUGUUGUAUCUGGUGUUGUAUCUGGCGUUGUAUCUGGCGUUGUAUCUGGUGUUGUAUCUGGUGUUGUAUCUGGUGUUGUAUCUGGUGUGGUGUUGUAUCUGGUGUUGUAUCUGGUGUUGUAUCUGGUGUUGUAUCUGGUGUGGUGUUUCAUCUGGUGUUGUAUCUGGUGUUGUUGUGUUGUAUCUGGUGUUGUAUCUGGUGUGGUGUUGUAUCUGGUGUUGUAUCUGGUGUUGUAUCUGGUGUUGUUGUGUCUGGUGUUGUAUCUGGUGUUGUAUCUGGUGUUGUAUCUGGUGUGGUGUUGUAUCUGGUGUUGUAUCUGGUGUUGUAUCUGGUGUGGUGUUGUAUCUGGUGUUGUAUCUGGUGUUGUAUCUGGUGUUGUAUGUGGUGUUGUAUCUGGUGUUGUAUCUGUUGUUGUAUCUGGUGUGGUGUUGUCUGGUGUUGUAUCUGGUGUUGUAUCUGGUGUUGUAUCUGGUGUGGUGUUGUAUCUGGUGUUGUAUCUGGUGUGGUGUUGUAUCUGGUGUUGUAUCUGGUGUUGUUGUGUUGUAUCUGGUGUGGUGUUGUAUCUGGUGUUGUAUCUGGUGUUGUAUCUGUAUCUGGUGUUGUAUCUGGUGUCUGGUGUUGUAUCUGGUGUUGUAUCUGGUGUUGUAUCUGGUGUCUGGUGUUGUAUAUUGGGUCAAUCACACUGUAAACUUUUAUGCAAAUUCGUGACUCUUCCCAUCCGUAGUGGGG